UACGUAGGGUGCGAGCGUUGUCCGGAAUUAUUGGGCGUAAAGAGCUUGUAGGCGGUUUGUCGCGUCUGCUGUGAAAACCCGCGGCUCAACUGCGGGCCUGCAGCCGAUACGGGCAGGCUAGAGUUCGGUAGGGGAGACUGGAAUUCCUGGUGUAGCGGUGAAAUGCGCAGAUAUCAGGAGGAACACCGGUGGCGAAGGCGGGUCUCUGGGCCGAUAUUGACGCUGAGGAGCGAAAGCGUGGGGAGCGAACAGG
rnacentral:rRNA from 1 species